rnacentral:rRNA from 1 species
GACGGAGGGUGCAAACGUUGUUCGGAUUCACUGGGCAUAAAGCGCACGUAGGCGGCUCGUUUAGUCAGUUGUGAAAUCCCCCGGCUCAACCGGGGAAUGGCAUCUGAUACUGGCGGGCUCGAGGUCGGUAGGGGUGAGCGGAACUCCAGGUGGAGCGGUGAAAUGCGUAGAUAUCUGGAGGAACACCGGUGGCGAAAGCGGCUCACUAGGCCGACUCUGACGCUAAGGUGCGAAAGCUAGGGUAGCAAAC